GUGCUCACUUUGGCAGCAUGUAUACUGUAAUUGGAAAGAUACAGAGAAGAUUAGCAUGGCCCCUGGGCAAGGAUGACAUGCAAAUUCAUGAAGCAUAUUUUU
rnacentral:snRNA from 1 species